rnacentral:tRNA from 1 species
CUUAGCUCAGUUGGCAGAGCAGGGGACUUUUAAUCCCAAGGCCGUGGGUUCGACCCCCACAGG